CCUGCCCGCUGGGUGGGCUCUCCAAUUCUCCACAGCUGUGCCAGGGAGCCAUUUCUACUGUUUAUUCUGGUUAUUUGGAGAAAAUAGUCAUAGGAGCAUCCUGAUAAAGGAGCAGGCAUCCAUAAUUGAUUCUUGGUACCCAGCUCCCUCUGUUUCCAGAUAUCCAAAGAAAAAGACCACUGUGCUCAGGAGCAAUGGAAUGCUCCUUUAUCCAGUAACAGUGGGACUUGGAAAUGUGUUUCCAAACAGGAUCUGAAACAAAGACCUUAAGCACCAUUGUGGGAGCCUCAGCUCUUCACUGGGAGUGGAAGGGGCUGUUGUGUGGAAGCAGCCAUGGAAAUUUAUUUUCCUAUGUCCAUCAGCUACAAGAAUGGGCCAUCUCUCACCUGUUAUGCCCACAGAGCCUAUGUGGACAUCUAAAACCCAUUUCUGCUGCAAAUAAUGUCAAAAGAUUUUAGACAAAGUGACAUCUUCUCCAUGAGUCUCCUGAGCUUGCUGCUCUCCCUGAGGCAGGGCUCCUCAGUGCUUGUAUUUUCCUCAGGACACCCAUCUCUUUGCCUGUAACUGACCACUUGAACAUGCUGAGGAAGAGAUACAGUCCUGUUGGUGCACUGAAAUAAAUCCCAGGGAAAUACAUUAGCAG